GUGUGAAGAAAUUGUUAAGAAAAUCCUAAAUAAAACGCUGCAAAGCGUACAUUAAGUUAAUGGAAGAUGGUGCUUCUAGAUUUGAAGUUAUUAACCAGUAGAGACCUACCAGUUGAACAAAUCGUAAUACAAAAAUUGAUUUUAGCUUUAAGUUUUGAUGAUUUACAAUAUGACUUGAAACCAUGUUUCUUUUAUUUGGCUUGUUCCCAAAGGGUUCGAAGAUAGAAAUGGAGAAUUUGUAUCUUCUAUGGAUGGCUGAAUGCAUGAUAUCAUGAGCCGAUUGUCAAAAUAAUGAAACAACGAUGGAUUUAACAGAAAGAUAUUUGAGAAUUUUGGUAGAAAAACAAGUGGUUGAGCUCGAAGAAGAAGAAUCUCCAACUUUUAGGAAAUACAAGUCUUGUUGGGUUCAUAAGAACAUACAAGAUCAUUGCUUACUAAAGGGAAAAGAAUAUUUCUUUAUGAUUCUACCAUCACAUGAAAAAAUAUGUCAAAGUAUCCAAUGUCAACCCAUCUACAACCACUCUCCCUUUUUGUCACAAAUGAUAAGGGGAUCCCUAUCACUUAUCAGAAGCAGCAUUGUCGCUAUCAUCUGCAUCAUCGGACUCAUUGUCAUCGUUAUAGUCCCAAUGUUGGCACUUUCACUGAAUAUCCUAUAGAACAUAGGCAAUCGGUCUACGAAGAGUAGAGAACUCAGUAGUGUGAUGCUCAGAGGCAACUCUCAUUUGUAUAAUCUCAACUAUUAUACGAGCUUAUUACUUGAUGAACACAGACAUCUGAUCCCAUAAGUACAAUCAAAGGAGCCAUAGGAAUCUAGCCAGAACUGUAAAUGGACUCAGCUGGAGGAGGUGGAACUGAAGUAGACGAUGACAGAAUGUUAGAAAUUAUAGUAGGCUGAGAUGGAGGAACAUGGAUAUUUAAAGGACCGCCAGAAAAAGGAUCACCAAUGGGAUUAGCAGGCUUUUCGGUUCAGUAGGAGUAGAAGAUGAAGGUACAUGUGAUUAACUCUAGAAUAUGGUGACCUAACCUAUAGCACGACUAAUGCGUCUCGAGACACCAUUUGAAAAUAAAACUCUUGAGGAAGUAACAAGGCGGUGAAUCAAGCAGGCGUAAGGAAGACAUAUCCUAUGAUAUGGGACCCUGAAGGUGUGCAAAAUGUGGUGACAGAUGAAUGUAAAUAGAUCAAUCGAGUCACUGUGGAACAAAGCAUGUAGAAACAUUGCCUUCUCCAUAGGCAACAAAGAGGUAUGUGAGAUUGGCAAUAUAUUUGUGUACAUAAUACGCAAACAGAAUCUGGUGGUUAGUGGGAAAAGCUCUAGUACCGAUCGCAGUAGGACCAUCUCCUAAAGGGCUAUUAAACAGCAUCAAUCUAACAAGAGAGUCGAUAGGAUUCAGCAGAUAAAUAGGGAAAAAUGGGAUGAAUGACAUAUGGAAUGUGCAAUGUGCUUGAAAUGACAUCAUGUGAAAUCCUAACAGUCGUGUCCCUAAGAAAAACCCUAAAGAAGACCCACAAACCUUAUGAAUGUUUGCAAAGUACUCAUAAACCAGGAGACUAGGCGGUGGAGAUAGGUCCAUGAAAAAUAGUUCCCACCCCGAAAAAUGAAGAUGGCUGCUAGAUUGGGAGAGAGGUCGAAGAGAAUUACCUUACACUCUAUAAGAAUAGGUCCAAGAGAUGACUAAGACCCGAAGACCUCGUGAAUAGUGGAAGAGAUGAACUGAGACCUAUUGUAAGAGGUCAAUCCACUAUCAGGCUGUGCUGAUGUCCGAACUCGCUUAGGUGUCGUCUAACAUAAAAGACAUGCCCAAGUGAUCAAGAGUAGAAACCAGUAUCAUAGAGCCCUUGCAUACCACCUAGAACAUGAUAUGCAUGAAUGUACAUGAAACGAGGCAAACUUCAUGGAACAGUGAUGAAAGCAUGAAAAAUUAUACAAAAUCAUGUAAAGCACGCAAACGAUGCAAAAAUGUGUAAAACAUGCAAAACUAUGUAACAAUGUGAAAAUACAUGCAAAAUGAUGAAAAAUUGUACAAAACACUAAAAAAGAUGCAAAAAUGUUGAAAAUACGCAAAACAAUGCAAAAAUGUGCGAUAACAUGAACUAAGGUAAUGUAGUGAUUGGAGUAUGAAAGCAUGAUGUCAGGAUGUAGCUUGAGACAAGUCAAGACAUAAGUGAUGUAGCGUCAAGACGAAGGUAGUGCAGUGUCAAGAUGGAAGUGAUGUUGUAUCAAGGCACCGAAGACAUGGUGUCAAGAUAGAGGUGCCAAUUACGUCUGACAAUUUCUUGACAUUAAAUCUUACGAUCGGUACGACAACUAUGAGACAAAAAAGACUCAUACACGACCAUUGCUUAGAGUGUGAAAGAUUAGUGGGAAUUACGGCCAAACAAUGACUAAAUUCAUGUAAUGAUGAUAUGUCAAACAUUUGGCGUGCAUGAUAAAUUGACCAAAAUCCCACCAGAAUUCAACACUUCAAAGACACCAAAAUGCCCCAAGUUGUACACAACCACAACCACAACAAUCGAAAGUCCCAAAUCUAGUACACGAUGAGGACAAAAAAAGGAAAAAUUGGAGCGGCAAAAUGUACAAAAAUAAGGUGAAAACAACGGAAAAUGUCACCAAAGGAGAGCAAAUCCGAACCAUAUUGAAGGCACAAUGCAAUGCCACACACAAAAUGGGCAAAAUGUAGUAAUGGAGCAAGCAUGGAACAAAGAUAUAACAAGAAAAAAAUUGAAAACCCAAAAAAAAGGUGAUAUGUAGGGUUUUAAGCGGAUACCUUCGAAAUCGGCUGCAAAUGUGAGAUGAAAUAUCGUUAAAUGAUGUAAACAGUUAUGAAAACCUGUUCGAUUCAUCAAUUUGUGCAAGAAUUUAGAUUGGGAAAAGGAGAAGAAGAGUGUUAAUGUGGGGAAAAGUGGAGAAAAUGAAGUAGCGUAUGUCACUUAAAAAAUAGAUGUCGCUCAAGUGAGAAGCGAGCGAGAGGCAAUCCGCUCCUAUUGCUUGAGAUAAUGCUU
rnacentral:lncRNA from 1 species